AUUGAACGCUGGCGGCAGGCCUAACACAUGCAAGUCGAGCGAGCGGCGGACGGGUGAGUAAUGUCUGGGAAACUGCCUGAUGGAGGGGGAUAACUACUGGAAACGGUAGCUAAUACCGCAUACCAUCAGAUGUGCCCAGAUGGGCUUAGCUAGUAGGUGGGGUAACGGCUCACCUAGGCUACGAUCCCUAGCUGGUCUGAGAGGAUGACCAGCCACCCGGGAACUGAGACACGGUCCAGACACCUACGGUAGGAAGCUGUGGGGAAUAUUGCACAAGGAGCGCAAGCCGGAUGCUGCCAUGCCGCGUGUGUGAAGAAGGCCUUCGGGUUUGAAAGCACUUUCUGCGGGGAGGCGUUACCCGCAGAAGAAGCACCGGAUAACUCCGUGCCAGCGGCCGCGGUAAUUC
rnacentral:rRNA from 1 species